CAAUAGCGUAUAUUUAAGUUGCUGCAGUUAAAAAGCUCGUAGUUGGAUUUCGGGUGGGAAUGGCCGGUCCGCCGUUUCGGUGUUCACUUGCUACGCCCACCUUGCUGCCGGGGACGUGCUCUUGAGUUCACGCUCGGGACACGGAGUCGGCGAGGUUACUUUGAGUAAAUUAGAGUGUUCAAAGCAGGCCUACGCUCUGAAUACAUUAGCAUGGAAUAACACGAUAGGACUCUGGCCUAUCUUGUUGGUCUGUAGGACCGGAGUAAUGAUUAAGAGGGACAGUCGGGGGCAUUCGUAUUUCAUUGUCAGAGGUGAAAUUCUUGGAUUUAUGAAAGACGAACUACUGCGAAAGCAUUUGCCAAGGAUGUUUUCAUUAA
rnacentral:rRNA from 1 species